rnacentral:rRNA from 1 species
AGUGAACGCUGGCGGUAGGCCUAACACAUGCAAGUCGAACGGCAGCACAGUAAGAGCUUGCUCUUACGGGUGGCGAGUGGCGGACGGGUGAGGAAUACAUCGGAAUCUACUUUUUCGUGGGGGAUAACGUAGGGAAACUUACGCUAAUACCGCAUACGACCUACGGGUGAAAGCAGGGGAUCUUCGGACCUUGCGCGAUUGAAUGAGCCGAUGUCGGAUUAGCUAGUUGGCGGGGUAAAGGCCCACCAAGGCGACGAUCCGUAGCUGGUCUGAGAGGAUGAUCAGCCACACUGGAACUGAGACACGGUCCAGACUCCUACGGGAGGCAGCAGUGGGGAAUAUUGGACAAUGGGCGCAAGCCUGAUCCAGCCAUACCGCGUGGGUGAAGAAGGCCUUCGGGUUGUUAAAGCCCUUUUGUUGGGAAAGAAAAGCAGCAGGUUAAUACCCCGCUGUUCUGACGGUACCCAAAGAAUAAGCACCGGCUAACCUCGUG